rnacentral:lncRNA from 1 species
GAUCCAUCAACAAUUUUGUGGAUCCUAUAAAUCUAUUAUAAGCCGUUGCAAUUAUAGUUGAAACCCUACUUUUCCAUCACAAUUCUGCCCCCAUUCGUAUUCUCGAGAAGAUCUUAAACACGUUUAUCACUCUGAAUUCUGCAAACUAUAUGUCAAUUGUAAACCCUACAACUCAACUCUUUAGAUCUUAGAUUCAUCUCAACUAGCCUUUUACAAUUAACGAUUGUUCAUUGUUUUAAGUCUUUUUCUAAAGUUUCUUUCACUCCGAAGACGAACAAAUUUUCUCUAUGUGAUGUUCUUAAUGAUUAAAGAUGAUAUACAUUUGAUGCAGUUUUAUAAUUAUCGGGUGAUGUUUUGUGGGAAUAUUGGAAUGUUUACAAACCUGAUUUUAUCCACUGAGCAGGAGUCUUUUGCAUUCUCAAAUUAAAGGUGUUUGUUUCUUUUCUCCUUCAUCUUGCUUAAUAAAGGUGUUUGUUUCCUUUCUCCUUCAUCUUGCUUAAUUUGAUGUCUUAUUUUAUUUAGAAGAGAAUGAAUCGCAAUAUCACUCACAUAAUAUUAGAUCGAUUAAAAAGGUAAUUCUUUGUUCCACAACCCUUAGCUCUGGUACUGCAAAUCUUUGUUAUUUGUUUGUAACUUACGCUUAUCAAAAGGAAAGCAUUUUGUUUGUUUUCGUAUUUUUAACAUAUUACAUCUUUUUAUACGGUUUUUUUACUAAUGCGUGAUUUAAUUUAUAUCAAGGUUUUGUUAUUUGUUUGUAACUUACACUUAUCAAAAGGAAAGCAUUUUGUUUGUUUUCGUAUUUUUAACAUAUUACAUCUUUUUAUACGGUUUUUUUACUAAUGCGUGAUUUAAUUUAUAUCAAGGUGUUCUUGAGUUCUUCUGAGGGUUCAUGUGGAAUCUGUAUUCAUGGGUCAUGGAGGCUACUGAUCAUGGUUAUGAAGGGGUAUCUUUUGGGAAGAAAUUGAAAGACAAACAAAUUGAAGAAUGGAAAGGGUGCUAGAAGACUUGGGCGUAUAUAUGUUCUCGAAGACUUCUUAAGAAUGCUCGAUAACCAGGUAAAAUAUACCAAAACUUAACCUUUAUAUUUAGAAAUACAAUUGAUUGUUUGUAUUAUUUUUGUUGGGUCGAUGCAUGCUUUUGUACAAUUAAAUGGCUUAAAGAAAAUGGGUCGAAUUUGUCCCACAAUGUAUUUUUUAGCGUAUAAAACCUUUUGAAUCACAUCACCAAAGAAUUUAAGUGAUAAAGCAAACAUUGUACUUUUGUAAUUUAUUAAUUUUAUUUAAUUGAUAAACUAUCUGUAGAAGCAUUGGACAAAAACUGAACCAUCUUGAUUUAGACCAAAGUUUCUUUUUUUACUCAUUACCCCUCUACAGCAUAUUCUCAUCAUCAAUGUAUAUAAAUGCAAAUUGUGAAGAUUAAUCUUUUCAUAUUGGAGCAACAAGGGCUCCUUGAACGCAUGUAAGAUCUUGGGAAACAACAAGAUGCUCUUCAAGAGGAACUAAAUUUUACAAAAAUAUUUGUUUCAUGAGAAGCCUAUAGAGAAGCUGGAAGAGACUGUUAAAGCUUUUAUUAAUUGUUUAGAUUAAUGCCAUAGUUUAAGAUAGAUUUGCUUUUGUUAAUUAUUUAGAUUUAGAUUAAUGCCAUAGUUUAACGUAUAGAUGUUUGAAUUAUAGUUGUAAUAUUUCUUUUUUCAUUAUUUAAUUUCAUACAUGUUUCCUUUAUU